rnacentral:lncRNA from 1 species
ACGGGAGUGCUUUUAUAGAAAAGUUUAAAUAUAUUACUGUUUUUAAUGCGAAUACUAUCAAAAUCUGAUUAUGCCACUUGGUAGGAGAGAAAGUGUAUUGGUGAAAAGAGGAAUGAAAUGGGAUUAUAUCCAACAGGGAUUCACCCACACGCAUAUACAUACACAACAGAAAACGUGUAUUCUUUUAUACAAGGCGCUCAGUUCUGUGUUAUAUCACAAAAAAAAACAAGAUCCAAUUUGUGGAAAGGAUUAUACGAGUUAACGGUUAGUAUGGUGUCUGAGAAAUCGUCAACUUGUUUUCAAAAUAUCUAUCUGUGUGAGGACUUAAAUAAUCUGCUCCUACGUGUAAGUAGUGCGUACAAUUUUUCUGAUUUGUAUGAAAUAUGUGACUUUUUGUGAAAAUACUGCAUUCCCUUCUGAUUGGCUAGUAUGGUAGAACUAUAUCUAUCUAUCUAUCAAUCUAUCUAUCUAUCUAUCUAUCUAUCUAUCUAUCUAUCUAUCUAUCUAUCUAUCUAUCUAUCUAUCUAUCUAUCUGUCUGUACCUCCGUCGUGGGACGCUGGACAGACGGCCCGGUUGAGUUGCUCGGGGUCUGGUUCAGUCCGGACCUCCAAAUGGAGAAGAACUGGAACGAGAUAACGAGUAGGGUGGUCACUCUCGCCCGGCAAUGGGCCGAGAGGAAACUGUCCCUAAAAGGUCAGACGGAGGUGGCGAACACGUACAUCGCGUCCAUCAUCUGCUACCGCCUGACCGUCGUACCUUGUCCCGACCCUACCAUCACCAAACUAGAACGCAUUCUCUUCGCUUCUUGUGGAAAGGAUGCGUCCCGAUGGUCAGGCGAUCCAUUUGCUGUCAACACCCGUUAAAAGGAGGACUGGGCUUGCAUUCUAUAGGGGAUUAGUGGAGGGGAGGUACGACGAUGAUCUUGGGGCAAACCUGGGCGUCGACGAGGAAUACCUGACCCGCCUGUUUGAAACGGCUUUCGGGUCGGGACCUAUGGACAACUUCCAGAGAUCCCUUGCCUGGCGGUGCUACCGAGAAGCGCUACCCGUUCGGGAUAAGCUCUAUAGGCAUGGCUUGAGAAACACGGGGCCGACCUGCCCGAGAUGCGGACAGAGCAACGAAACCGCUCUGCACGCAAUCGUGCAGUGUCCAACAAUCUCCGACCUGUGGGCUUAUGUCGAACGACUGCUGUCACGUGUGGGACGUGUCGGUUUAUCAGCCGAGUCUAUCGUUAAUAUUGUCACGCCUCCUUCCUUCAAACGGGAAGGAAGAGCUAUUUUUAUCAUACUUGUGGCUAUGGCGAAAGAAUGUAUCUGGUGGACGCGCCUGAAAGGAUUAGAGACAAACACUUUCCUCUCUGGUCAAUCUCUCAUCAACUUCUUCAUGUAUCACUUGAAGAGGAAAGUGAGAGUAGAGAGGCAAGUUUUGUCUAGUGAAUGUUUUAAAAAAAGAUGGGUGAAUGUAGCAAGGAUGGCACGUAUGAAUGACGAAGCCACCUUGACAAUGAUUCUAUGAACCGUAAAAAUUAAUACAGAGAGUUGCUUAUUUGCAAAAAAAAAAAAAAGAAAUAUAACAUUUGACUUCAUUGACCGAGGUUACAGUGGUCUUUUCCGUAGGCUUUUCUUUCCAUGGGUAAACCUCACCUGUCCUCCCCUUUACACUUCAUAUUGACAUUUCUGUGAUAACGAUCCCUAUUGAUCAAUUUUUUCCUCCCCCCCCCCCUUUUUUGUCCUCUUUCUUUCCUUUUACGAUCCCUUUUGAUCGAAACCCCCCCCACUUUUUUUUACCCCAAAAAGAAAAGCUCUACCUUGUAAUUUGUUCUAUCUGUGUGCAGCCCUGUGUGGCUAAUAAAGAAACAUAUCUAUCUAUUUAUCAAUCUAUCUACCUAUCCAUCUAUCUAUCUAUUUAUCCAAUUUAUCUAUCUAUCUAUGUAUCUAUAUAUCUAUAUAUCUAUAUGUCUAUCUAUCUAUCUAUAUAUAUAUAUAUAUAUAUAUAGAUAGAUAGAUAGAUAGAUAGAUAGAUAGAUAGAUAGAUAGAUAGAUAGAUGGAUAGAUAGAUAGAUAGAUAGAUAGAUAGAUAGAUAGAUAGAUAGAUAGAUAUGUUUCUUUAUUAGCCACACAGGGCUGCACACAGAUAGAACAAAUUACAAGGUAGAGCUUUUCUUUUGAAGGGUAAAAAAAAAAAAAGGAAGGGGGGAGUUUCGAUCAAAAGGGAUCGUAAAAGGAGAGAAAAAGGACAAAAAGGGGGUUAAAAAAAGGGGGAGAGGAAAAAAAUUGAUCAAUAGGGAUAGUUAUCACAGACAUGUCAAUAUGAAGUGUAAAGGGGAGGACAAGUGAGGUUUACCCGUGGAAAGAAAAGCCUACGGAAAAAGACCACGGUAACCUCGGUCAAUGAAGUCACAUUUUAUAUUUUUUUUUUUUUUUUUUUUUUGCAAAUAAGCAACUCUCUGUUUUCGAUUUCAGGGUUCAUAGGACUAUGCUCAAGGUCGCUUCGUCAUUCAUACGUGCCAUUCUUGCUACAUACACCCAUCUUUUUUUAAAACAUUCGCUAGACAAAACUUGCCUCUCUACUCUCACUUUCCUCUUCAAGUGGUACUUGAAGAAGUUGAUGAGAGAUUGACCAGAGAGGAAAGUGUUUGUCUCAAAUCCUUUCAGACGCGUCCACCAGAUACAUUCUUUCGCCAUAGCCACAAGGAUGAUGAAAAUAGCGCUUCCUUCCCGUUUGAAGGAAGGAGGCGUGACAAUAUUAACGAUAGACUCAGCUGAUAAACCGACUCGUCCCACACGUGACAGCAGUUGUUCGACAUAAGCCCACAGGUCGGAAAUUGUUGGACACUGAACGAGUGCGUGCAGAACGAGUGCGUGCAGAUAGAUAGAUAGAUAGAUAGAUAGAUAGAUAGAUAGAUAGAUAGAUAGAUAGAUAGAUAGAUAGAUAAAUAGAUAAAACUUACUUGGAAGAGGAUGCGUGCUAUUCAAUCAUAUAAUAUAAAUAAUAUAUAUACAUACGUAUAUGUACAUACAUCUAUACGUGUAUAUAUGUGUGUGUGUGUGUGUGUGUGUGUGUGUGUGUGUGUGUGUGUGUGGGCACAGGACGUCAUGAAACGUAUACGACAAAAAUACGAAGUACGAGUACAUGGAUUAUGAACUAUUUUUUCGAACAACGAAAGACACAAAUGGAAAACAAGACAAACAACAUAAAGAACGACUCUUCAUCAGUUUUUGGCUGUUUUUCUAUUCUCGUAUUUCGAGCAUUUAACAACAAUAUACGCUUUCGAUAAAACAGUUGCUCCCGCAAAGCAAAUGAAAAAUAAAUAUUGGAAGACAUAUAUAUAUAUAUAUAUAUAUAUAUAUAUAUAUAUAUAUAUAUAUAUAUAUAUAUAUCAGGGACGUGCCGCCUAGAUAGGUAAGGUAGGCAAUGCCAACCUUGAAUAAAAUAGAUAAGUAUAUGAAUAUUUUCCAGUUAUGACAAAAUAUAUAGCCAAUUCAAUAAACUUAUGAAAGUUACUCUGAUUACUAUGCAUAAAAUGUAAAAUAUCUUAUUUCUUUGCAGGUUAGGAAGCCAUAAUUUAUACACAUAUUACUUUAUACACAUAUUACUAUAUAUAUAUAUAUAUAUAUUUUUACGUACAAAAUUUAAAGGACUGACCACUAAAAGUGGACGGUCAACAUGCUAGAUAUAGACGUCUCAGCACAAACCAAAGCGUAAAAAUAAGCAAGACAAAUGAAAAUAUACGAAAUAAUAACGAUUACCUAUGUACCGAUCAGUUUCGAUUGUUAAUAUCCACGCAUAUGGAUACGUGGAAAUCUGCAAUCUCAUCAGCAAAGUCUGUCGUAUACAAAUAUAAUUUGCAGGACUAGAUACGAAAAUGCUUGACCGGAGUCCCGCAUGCAUAGAGCCCAACAAAUUAUAUUUAUGUGUAUCCUUCAAAUGCCUUCACUUUGGCGCGCUGAGAUCGGAAAUCUACCCUGCAGUUGAUAAACUGCAGUAUAUAUAUAUAUAUAUAUAUAUAUAUAUAUAUAUAUAUAUAUAUAUAUAUAUAUAUGUGUGAAUAAUAGAAAUUAACACGGUUCCCGUCUACCAGUUCAAUCAUAAUUCGCUGAUCGUCCGGAUUGAUUUAAAAUGUAUAUUGCCUUAUGUGGACAAUUAGUGAGUAAUUAUUGACCUGCUUGUCGGUCUAAAUCAGUAAAUAGUUCGAAACCGAUUGGGACCACGUGUUUUGAUUAUUGUUGAUUAUGCAUGGACACACUUCACUCAUUUCUCUAUUAGCUCUAAUUUUUCGUGUAAUUAAAAUCAAUAGAUCGAUCUCUCAAUCUUUCGGAUGUCUGCCUUACGCUUUUCACCUUUUUUCUGACACCAGCUGUUUUGAGCAAUGGCGUAUCAUGUGUACUUACUAUAGACCAAAGAGCCAACGAGAGGCACGAUACGCACAAUCACCGAUCAUGUCUCCUUCAAAAUAGCCAUAGAGUAAGUAGAUUGUAUUUUGAAGUUGAGUAAAUCUGGUAUGUCUGAAAUUUACUUUUAAAGCUUCUGGUAGUCCUAAUUCCUUUUAUUCUAAUAACUUUCCUGGAGCUGUUGCUAUUUUGAACAUUUAUAUUUAAAUACGUACACGUAACUGGUUUUAUAUUUGUGUGAUUUUCAAAACUUUAAGAUUUGAGGAACGUGGAGCAGUGUCACAAACGGUACUGUUUGUGCAACAGCUCCACGUAUAAUUUUAUGAAAACCUACAAAUGUGAAAGCGGUUAAAUGUAUAUUUUUAUAAAAUGCAAAUAAAUCUUCAUAUGUCCUCUAUACAUUUACACACACAUAUACACAUGCACACUAUUGUAGGCACGUAAACCAGUGUUCUGGGUUAACAAACAUCUAUAUCAGAUCAUAUACAAAAUCAUGUGUACGUAAAUAGAUAAACGAUAGAAAUUGGAAUGAGUGACAUUCUUUAUCUAAACUCACUUCACUUUCAAUAAAGUCACUACAUUUUCUAACAUUUGCCUAUUUAUAUAAACACUAUGGAUACAAUGGGAUGCUUAGUGCAUAUCCCGUUGCAGGAACAUUUCCAUUGCAUGAUGAUAUCAGGUAACCAAUAACUGCGGGCGAGCUUUGAAUAGCAAUUUGCCAGCGUUUUCACCCGAAUCUUCUUUAACUAUAUGUAUGCGUAUGUAUGUAAUCAUAUCGGUUACGCUGACUUAAUACCGAUAAUUCAGAAGUAGAUCAUGCGUAACUGACAGCUAAAAUAACAUCAUAAAAAAAACACAGCCAAAACAAAAUUUACAAAAAAAUUAAUAUUAGUCCGUAAGAAGAAGAAAGACAGAGAACAAGGCUGAUAGGUAGACAGACAGAGAGACAGAUAGAUAGAUAGACAAAGAAAGAGAGAAUUGAACGGUUUGGGUUGCAAUCCUUCGUCAAGAAAGAGAUAGGAAAUAUGAGAAAGAGGAAAAGAAAACACUGCUAUGGAUGAUGUAUACCAUAUAACAAAGUAUACUAUAUAACAAUGUGCUAACAAUGUACGGAAGACAGAAGUGCAAGCGCCAGUGACCUUAAAAGAUCUCUGGACACUUUGGUUUAAAGACAGACACAAGGUGAAUACAUGUAAAGCUGCUAAUUUUAGCGACUUUCUAGUUUUCUGUAAAGUUUUUGUAAACAAUAUAAAAUAUAUAUCAAAUAAAGAAAAAAAGUUAAUAAGACAAAAUACGUUACGCAGAUUUGAACGCUGGCUAAAUCCCAGAAAUUUCUAUUCAACACUUGUAAUACAACCAAAGACUAAAAAUCCACAACAAACAAAAUCAACAACAAUAACAACUUCAUCAAUAACAACAAAAACAAAAACAACGACAACAGUCCGGAGAAAACAUAAAAACUUAAACAGAAAAACGGACGAAAUCUAAUUACAAACAUAGAGAAAAGCAAACAAAAUGACUUCGAGUUAUUCAAGCUCAGGUGUAAGAAUGUAAGAAAAUGCUAAUGGAAGAGACAGGGCGAAAAACAGAGACAGAGAUUUUAUACUGACGUACACACACACUCUACAACACCACCUAUAUAUGUAUAUAUAUAUGUUAUAUAUAUAUAUAUAUAUAUAUAUAUAUAUAUAUAUAUAUAUAUAUAUAUAUAUAUAUAUAUGUAUGUAUAUAUAUAUAUAUAUAUAUAUAUAUAUAUAUGUAUAUAUUUAUAUAUAUAUAUAAGCAUAUAUAUAUAUAUAUACAAAUAUAUAUGUACAUACGUGAAUGUAUAUAUAUGUAUAUAUAUAUAUAUAUGUGUGUGUGUGUCUGUAUAAAUAGAUAGAUGAUAAAUAGAUAGAUAGAUAGAUAGAUAGAUAGAUAGAUAGAUAGAUAGAUAGAUAGAUAGAUAGAUAGAUAGAUAGAUAGAAAGAUAGAUAGUUGAAGAGGACAAGGGAGAUUCGGUAAAUGAGACACAGAACAGCACGAAAGAGAAAUGCACCGGUAAAGGGGAAAUUUACAAAAGAGCGAUGUUCAGAGAAAGACUGAGAGAUAGAAAAGGUGAGGGAAAUAAAGAUAAGAGGAAGAAGGAAAAUGAGAGAGGAAAUAUAGAGAGCAGAAUACAUAGAAGCACACACACACACACACACACAGAUGUGAGACAAAAAGACAUAUAUAAAGAAACAGUGACAGAAGGAAAAGACAAUACAAAGUAAAUGUACACACACACACACACGUACAUAUAUAUAUAUAUAUAUAUAUAUAUAUAUAGAGAGAGAGAGAGAGAGAGAGAGAGAGAGAGCGAGAGCGAGACAGAGUGAGACAGACCCGGAGAGAGACAUAUACGGACAAAGCGAAAUGUAGAUAUUGUCGGUCAUCUCCUUUUAAUUCGGCCUACUUGACAGCGUUAUAACAUUAGAUAUUGCCUUUUUACGUUACAAAUUGAAGUCUUUUAUAUGCCAAAAGUCCUAUUAUUGCCGACAACAUGAUUGGAAGUGAUUUUAUGCCCCUCACCAAUUACCCUCCAGCUUUCUGUUUGGCUUUCCAUUUAACUCUCUUUCGCACAAAUCGCAUACAUAACACUGACGAUGUGUGCGCGCGCAGGGACACCCAUUCGCAGUGUGUUUCUCUCUACGAUAAAGAGCAGUGUUACAAGGUAUAUAUGUAAAUAUAUUUGGGUAUGUGUUUAUGCAUAUAUGUGUGUGUGUAUAUAUAUAUAUAUGUAUAUAUAUAUAUAUAUAUAUAUAUAUAUAUAUAUAUGAAUAUAACUAUAUAUAUACAUAUAUAUGUAUAUGUAUAUAUAUAUAUAUAUAUAUAUAUAUGAAUAUUCCUAUAUAUAUAUACAUAUAUAUGUAUAUCUAUGCUUCUAUACACACGUAUAUAUACGUAUAAUAUAUAUAUAUAUAUAUAUAUAUAUAUAUAUAUAUAUGCAUAUAUGUGUAUAUCUAUGUUUCUAUACACACGUAUAUAUACGUAUAUAUAUAUGUCUAUAUAUGCAUAUAUAUAUAUAUAUAUAUAUACACAUACAUAUAUAUAUAUAUAUGUGUGUCUGCUUGGGUGUGUGUGUGUGUGUGUCUGUGUGUGUGUGUCUGUGUGUGCGUAUAUAAACGUAUGUACAUAAACGUAUGGCUGUCUCCUAAGGCUAUUUCCCACGUGUGUGAGCCAGCGAUAUUUUUGCUCUCAGAAAAUCAGAAAAUGCCAGGAUUUUAAAUAGAUUAAUGCCGUGUGACGUCUUUUGUUUGACUUGUUGUUUGACCGUCAAUCUGAGUGGUCCGUGUCCGAGCAACAUUUUGGCCAGAUUACUAAUUGGUCACACACACUCAAUCAUUAGACAUAUUUCUUUUAGAAAUAUAAGUCUUGAAGAAUGGCGGUGGGGAAAAAAAAAAGAAAAACAUACAAACGUAAGUAAAUAAAGAUACAAAAAUACGAUAAAUAAUACAGGCAAAGAAAACUAAAGAUAUAAGCAUGAAUAUCGAUGAAAAGCAUUGUGGUAAAUGAUACAUAAAGAGAUAGAGAUGGAGAGAAGGGGAGAGAGGAGUGAGAGAGAGAGAGAGAGAGGAAGGAGAAGAGAGAGCGAGAGGGAGACAGAGAGAAAUGAUAAGAAAGAGUGUCGGGUAGAGGAGUGACGUGAUAUACAAGACUGAAAGUUUCCAAGUGUUUUGAUGGAAACAUUUACCAGUUUCUUUAUACGCAGUAACUACUACUGCUGCUGCUACAACACAACAACAACCACGACAACUACUACUGCUACUACUACUACUACUACUACUACUACUACUACUACUACUACUACUACUACUUCUAAAAAUAAUAAUAAUAAUAAUAAUAAUAAUAAUAAUAAUAAUAAUAAUAAUAAUAAUAAUAAUAAUAAUAAUAAUAAUAAUAAUAAUAAUAAUAAUAAUAAUAAUAAUAAUAAUAACAACAACAAUCUUCUCUACUGGAAGCACAAGGCUUCAAAUUUCGGGGAAGGGAUUAAGUGGAUUACAUCGACUCCAAUGCAUAACUGGUACUUAUUUAAUCGACAGUGAUAAUGCGUUAAAAUUUUGACCAGCAAUUUCGUGUGGAGGGAGAAAGUCGAUUACAUCAACCGCAGUGCGCAACUGGUACUUAUUGUAUCGGUACCGUAAUGAUGAAAGACAAAGUUGACCUCAGAGAAUUUGAAGUUAGAACAUAAAGAAUGGAAAUUAUAUUUCGUUAAGAUGUUUUGUUCUGUGGACAACAAGUCUGUCUACUCAUAAAUUAACAAGGACGACAACAACAACAGCAAAAAUGGAAGGAAUAACAAGGACGACAACAACAACAGCAAAAAUGGAAGGAAUAACAAGGACGACAACAACAACAGCAAAAAUGGAAGGAAUAACAAGGACGACAACAACAACAGCAAAAAUGGAAGGAAUAACAAGGACGACAACAACAACAGCAAAAAUGGAAGGAAUAACAAGGACGACAACAACAACAGCAAAAAUGGAAGGAAUAACAAGGACGACAACAACAACAGCAAAAAUGGAAGGAAUAUAUUCUUUUCUAUACUAAGCACAAGGCCUGUAUUUUUUUUGUGGGGUGGGUCCAGUCGAUUAAAUCGACCCCAGUACUCAACUGGUACUUAAUUUAUGGACCCCGAAAGGAUGAAAGGCAAAGUUGACCUCUGCGGAAUUUGAACUCAGUAAUAACGGACGAAAUACCUAUUUCUUUAUUACCCACAAGGGGCUAAACAUAGAGGGGACAAACAAGGACAGACAUAGGUAUUAAGUCGAUUACAUCGACCCCAGUGCGUAACUGGUACUUAAUUUAUCGACCCGGAAAGGAUGAAAGGCAAAGUCGACCUCAGCGGAAUUUGAACUCACAACGUUGCGCCAGACAAAAUACCGCUAAGCAUUUCGCCCGGCACGCUAACGUUUCUGCCAGCAUAAUAAUAGCGGACGAAAUACCGCUAAGCAUUUCGCCCGGCACGCUAACGUUUCUGCCUGCUUGUCGCUUUAAUGGAAGGAAUAUAGACGUAUUCACGAUUGUGUGGUUCAGGUAUUACACGGGGAGAAAUUACGACAAAGGGGAUAUGAAGUAGACAGAAAAUAGUACCAACAUCAACCAGAGAGUGUCAUAAGGUACCUUCAGCUUAGGGUGGUACCAGAUUUUACUGUUUACGAACUUCAAGAAACGCAACCAGAUAUGAUUAUUCUCGACAAGUGUAAGAAAGGGUGCAUCUUUAUACUUGUAGCUAUAUCUGCAGACAUGGAUGUAGCAGUCGAAGAAGAGGAGCAAUUAAUAAGAUACCAGAUUUUGGCUAUGGAAAUGAGAAAACUGUGAAUCUCCUUUAUUGAGAUUGGUGUAAAUAUCAGAGUUACAUUAAUUUUAAAUUCUGCUUUUUGGAAACAGCAACAAUUGUAAGAAACGUUCUCGACAUCUAGGAAAUUGGUUUUAGACCCGGUAUCAAAGACACUGAUUUCGAAUGUAAGACAUUCAUCAGCCAGUAUAAAUAAUAAUAAUAAUAAUAACAAUAAUAAUAAUAAUAAUAAUAAUAAUAAUAAUAAUAAUAAUAAUAACAAUAAUAAUAAUAAUAAUAAUAAUAAUAAUAAUAAUAAUAAUAAUAAUAAUAAUAAUAAUAAUAAUAAAUGCCCUGAUGCAGUACUAGGCAGUAGCUCUCAUGGCUUCUGAUCUUAAUUGAUUGGAAGUGUUAUCAUGUACAUUGUUUUGUCUUGGUAUAAAAGAUGAGCUACAGCAAAUAUUCUGCUCAAUACCACAGAUUUGCUUGUCAGUUGUUUGACCUUAACCAGUUGAGCAUGUCCCUUAGUAGCUGACGAUAUGUGCAUCUCUGAUCACGAGCAGAAGUAGUGGGGGAGCAUCAUAGCCAUGUGUUGAGAGGGAUUCUUUGGGGUUUGAAUAGUUCACCUCUGGAAACAUGGGUGUUUCAUUCAACAUCCUUAAACAACCCUUAUUCAGGGACCGUUUGAGCGGAUGGGCCACUCAACCUGAAGAAAAUUCUAACUGGGCCCCACCUGCAAGGUCAUGUGCUGUUUAUCUUGAUAUGAGAUCACCAUGUCGCGCACAUAUGGUUGUGAUGCAUGUGCCUGGUGUACCUUUAUCAGACGGGUAGUCAUGAUGGGUAUACUGGGCUUCGUAUAUUUUACCCCAGUGUCACUUUGAUGGCAUGAACUGCUCUCUCACUCAAUAAUAAUAAUAAUAAUAAUAAUAAUAAUAAUAAUAAUAAUGAUAAUAAUAAUAAGCAAUAUCGGAUAAAAUGAACGAAGCUGCAGCUAGAGAAAAUAAUACAGAGGAAAUAAUUAUAGACCAGCCCAGGGCUGAUAAAAACGAAGUAAGGAUUGAAAGAGUUAGUAUAAGUGAUAGGCAAAGUGAAAUACUCCCUGAACCAAUCAUAAACACUAAGACAGAUGAACAUCAAAUAGAUAAAGAAAGUCACACAAAUAUUGGCCCAACAGAACUACAUGAGCUAAAACAUCAAAUCAUGAUUGAAUGGCUGAAAAUUAAAGAAACCAGCAUGGAUGAACGUGAUACACUCCCUAAAAUCCGCAACACUAACCAAAACAUGAAAAUAAUUGGUAAAAUCCGGCUUGCACUUAAGGAUAUAAUUUCAGCUAAUGAUGUUGAUAUCACAAAUCUGAACCACCUAUACUAUGCAUCCGCGAAAAUCUCAACGAUACUAUGUGGUGUAAAGUUAAGAAAACGGCAACAUUCCCACAAAAAGCCUUCUUGCCAAGAGCGUUUGCAACAACAAAUUAAACUAUUUAGAUCUGACAUUGAAUAUUUGAAAAACCUUAAGGUUCACAAGACUACCAAACCUACAAAACCCCAAAUAUUGCUGAAAAAAUACAAUAUGAAAACUAUACUUGAUAUUGAUGCCACCAUAGAAACCAUCAAACAAAAGGUAUCUGCCAAAGCUGCCCGCAUAGCGAGGUAUGAAAAGCUUGUUAGAUUUUUCAAGGACAACAACAUGUUCAAAAAUAACACCAAGAAUUUUUACAGGAAGAUAGGAAAAACAGCGUUUACUGCAAGGUCUGUAUCAUCAAAAGAAGAAGUGCAGAGAUUUUGGAAUAAAAUUUGGGCAGAAGAAAAAACACACAAUGAAAAGGCCCCCUGGAUUGACAGAAUAUCUACAGAACAGGACCCCUUAGAAGAGCAAAAGUGGGAGGGUAUCAAGGUAGAAAAUAUAAGAUCUGCUCUCAGGAGGUCAAGCAAAUGGAAGUCUCCAGGAAAGGAUAACAUUCCUAACUUCUGGCUGAAUGCCUUCCCAGAGAGCCAUGAACUGCUAACAGAACUGUACAAUGAUGUUUUGCAACACCCUAGUAGGAUGCCUCCUUGGCUAGUUAAUGGGUUAACAUUCCUGCUUCCAAAAAGUGAAGAAACAAAUGAACCAAAAAACUAUAGACCCAUAACCUGCUUAACAACUAUGUACAAAACGCUAACAUCUGUUCUGACGGAAUAUACUUAUAGAUUUUUAACAGACAGCAACAUAUUCCCUAAUGAACAGAAAGGAUGUAAACGUGGAUCCUACGGCUGUAAAGAUCAACUACUCACAAUAAAAUGAUCUUAGAAGAUUGUCACAAACGACACAAAAACUUAUCAAUAGCCUGGAUAGACUAUAAAAAGGCUUUUGAUAGCCUACCACAUAGCUGGAUUAGGAAAUGCCUGGAAAUGUAUAAGAUAGCACCUACUCUGCGAAACUUUUUGACGGUAUGAGAUCAUGGAGAACCACACUAACUCUGAACAGUGACAAUGAAUCCCUAAAUCCUGGUGAUGUAAAAAUUUCGUGUGGCAUUUUCCAGAGUGACUCACUGUCAUCACUCCUCUUUUGUUUAGCCUUAAUACCUCUCACAAAACUGCUCAAUGACGCGCAGUACGGGUAUAAAAUGUUUGAUAAAAAUAUAAAUCAUCUCAUUUACAUGGAUGAUUUAAAGCUUUUUGCAAAAAAUGACCAACAACUCAAAGCUCAAAGGCUUACUAGCGAUAGUCAAACAAUUCAGUGACGACAUCAGAAUGCAAUUCGGCCUCGAUAAAUGUGCAAAAGCUACCUUUAUCAAAGGAAAAAUGACGGAAACAUCUAAAGUUAACCUUGAUUAGCAGAACGUCAUAAAAUAACUAGACCCAGCGGAGAGCUACAAGUACCUAGGGGUAAUUGAAGGGAACGGAAUAAGGCAUUCAUAGAUGAAGGAAAGGAUCAGGAGAGAAUGUUAUCGAAGAGUGAGAGCAAUAGUCAAGACAGCUGAAUGCAAGAAACAGGAUCGAAGCGAUCAAUGCAUUAGCCAUACCAGUCGUGACUUACAGUUUCAAUAUCGUUAACUGGUCAAUUACUGAAAUAUGUCAGCUCGACAGAAAAAUAAGAAAACUGUUGACAAUGCAUAGAAUGCACCACCCUAAGGCAGAUACAGAACGACUUUAUCUGCCAAGAAAAGAGGGAGGUCGUGGUCUUUUGCAACUGGAAAUAACAAUGAAGAUUGCUACAAUUGGCCUAGACACCUACCUGAAAAAGUCUGAAGACUGGAUGUUAAAACUUGUCUCAAAACAUGAAAACAAGAAAACAUCAUACUCAGUAACAAAACAGGCAAAGGAAUAUCUAAGUGAAUUCCGAAUACAACAAAUUUCAGAAUUAGAGAUAGACAUACAAGAAACAAGCACAGAAAAAGCUAGGCGCACGAAAACCCGUGCCAAAACUGCGGCCUUAGAUAUUCUGAAUAAUAAAUGGCAAGAAAAACCUCUCUAUGGCAAAUACCCAAAGAGAGCGAAAAAUGCAGAUAUUGACAAAGCCCUGACCCAUCAAUGGCUAAUGGCCUCUGGCUUAAAAUCUGAAAGAGAAGGGUUUAUCAUAGCAGCUCAAGAUCAAUGCCUACCAACAAGAAACUACCAGGCCAACAUAUUAAAGAACGGCAGUAGCCCAACAUGUCGUGUAUGCCGACAACAAAAUGAAACCAUUGAUCAUGUUGUCUCCAAAUGCAGUCUUCUACCGCCUACAGAGUAUCUCAACAGGCAUGAUAGAGCUGCACAAUAUAUUCACUGGGUAAUUUGCAACAACCUGGAUUUGCCCCAUGAAAAAAACUGGUGGGAACACAAUCCACCUCCAGUGCUUGAAAAUGACCACAUCUCACUCCUCUGGAACUUCACCAUUGAAAUUGACAGAAAGAUCGAUGCAAAUAGGCCAGACAUCAUAUUGAAAGACUUCAGACAAAGAACAUGCCUCCUCAUUGAUAUGGCUGUCCCAAUCGAUAUAAACGUAUCUGUCAAGACCUACCAAAAACUGAGCAAAUAUAAAGAUCUUGAAAUAGAAAUCAGCAAAAUGUGGAACCUGAAGACUAAAACAAUACCUGUUGUCAUAGGUGCCCUGGGAAUGAUGGCGAAAGGGGCUGAUUGCUACCUAACUCAGAUUCCAGGAAACCCCAAAAUGGCAGAAAUUCAAAAGAUAGUGCUCAUGGGAACUGAUCAUAUCCUACGCAAAAUACUCUCUAUGUAAUCCCAAGGUUUAAAACAAUUUUAAAAAAAAAUUUAUAUGUUAGACAUUCACUAGUACAACACCCCACCCCCCCAAAUAUAUGGGACACUAGGCAUAACAACAACGUGAACUUCUAACCUGUUGUCUCUUGAGGUCUCUGGGUGAGACUUGGAGCCAACUUGUACAGACAUAAAGCAAAAUUCAAACAUAUAAUAAUAAUAAUAAUAAUAAUAAUAAUAAUAAUAAUAAUAAUAAUAAUAAUAAUAAUGACAAUGAUAAUGAUAAUAAUAAUAAUAAUAAUAAUAAUAAUAAUAAUAAUAAUAAUAAUAAUAAUAAUAAUAAUAAUAAUAAUAAUAAUAAUAAUAAUGAUAAUAAUGAUAAUAAUGAUAAUAAUGAUAAUAAUAAUAAUACUAAUGAUGAUGAUAAUGAUGUAGAUGAUGAUGAUCCUAGUGAUGUGAAGUACUUGUGGCUGUCACCUCAUCACCAAAUUCUUUCUCUCUGCGUGAAAACAACGUGAUUAAGGCUGGAAAUGACAACGGUAAAGCUCUCUCACUGGCGAAAUAUCCUACUGCACAGCAAGGAAAGCGCCGUAUUGUCAUCUAGCUGCUGCAGUAGGAAAGAAAACAGCUUACUUUGACUGGAGCAUAUUGAAUGUAAAUCUGAUAGAAUGUUAUAUCCAAAGUGAACCUAGCUGAUUUGGUUAUAUAUAUAUAGAUAUAUAUAGUUUCAGUUCAGAGCUGUGUCAAUGCUGGAGCACCACCGUUUUGCUACACUGUUAUUACUGAGAUUCUCCUCUAAUAAGUGGCACUUGGUGAAGAAGGGACUUUGAUGUAGCUACCCUCAUUUACACCUCUUGCCGUGAGGUAGGUUCGUCUGGGACUCUCGACAGGAAGAGUUCCGACUUUGAUUUAAAAAUGCCUACAUCUGCUUUGUGCAGGUUCCCCAGGCGCUUUGGGAGAAUAUUAAAAAGCAGUAGGCCCAUGGAACCCAGGUUGUUGCAGUAACUGGUCCUGAAGCGCGAUGGCAUUGCUGGGACUUUUGGCCCUGUACAGUGUCAGCCUCUUCUGGUAUUGGUGUAGCUUUCAAUGCCAUAAUUUGGCACAAUUCCUUCCAGGAUCUUCCAGAUGUAUAUUACUGCAUACUCGCUCCAGGUGGUAGAGUCUUAGCUGUUUCAGCCUUUCCCAGUAGCUGACCUGCUGCAAAAAGAUGGUCUUCUUUGUGAAGCUUCGCUGAAUUGCCUCAAGGUCCGCUGUUAAUUUUACACUGAAUGGACAGAAUUAAAGAGGAAAAGUUUGACAAGGAAAUGCUUCAUGUAAUUGGGUGUAUGUGCAUAAAUAUAUGUAUAUGUAUAAACAUGUAUUUAGAUAUUUUGUAGAAAGUCUGUAGAGACUAACUCGUAUUAUUGAAAUAAAAACAUUGAAGAAAGAACUCAUUUAGAUAUGAUCUUUUUUUUUUACACUACACCAGUCUCGAAAAAUCUCUCAACAUAUUUCACUGCAUUAAACAUUUCUUUCGCAGAUACUGUCUAAAAUUAGUCGAAAAACCUAAUGUUUUAUAAACAGCUAAAUUUUCAUAAUGCAUUUUUGAAAUUAUAACUAAAUUUCAAUUGUUAACAUCUUAAUUGUAACAAUCAAUUUACCAUAUUUAAAUGAGGUCUUUCGUCUGAAUAAGAUUGGUAUUAAUUAACUACUACAUCUAUUUUACCAUUAAUUAUCAUUGACCAAUGUUAUGUUGCUAAUUACGCCGCCUUUGCAUGAUUUCCGGGAUAUAUUAAAUUUUGGAUGAGAAGAUGGUAGCUCUCGUUCAAACACCAUUACUAGGAAAAGGAUAUCUUGGAUGGCCUGUCACACCAGGAAAUGGUCCCUUAUCAUCUCACGAGGAAAGGAGAUCGCUUUUAAGCGAUAGAUAAAGAGAGAGAGAGAGAGAGAGAGAGAGAGGAGAGAGUAAGAGCGAGACGGAGAGACACAAAAACUGAGAGACUUAUAAAAGCAGAGAGAGGGUGAGAGAGAGAAAGAGGGAGAGAGAGUGGGGUGAGGUGGAGAAGAGCGACAAUGAGACAGGAUCCAAGCCUAUUACUUCAGUGGCAAUUUUAUCGCCCCUGGAAGAAUGGAAGACAAAACUGACGUCGGUGAACUUUGAAACGCAGAAAGCGAGAGCAAUGACAAUAAUCUAUUCCAGCCGACGUUCUAGUGACACCCACUCCAAUAAAACAACACGUUAGAGGUUAAUAUUUACGAAAAUGAAUUGAAGCAGAAUUAAACUUUAAUAAAAUAAGGAUUAAAAGGUGUAAAAUAAACUGAUCACUCAUGGUCAGACACGAGUUCAAUGAAAUAUUUAUGAUGCAAAUAAAUCUGUAUAAAUACUACCAAAGUUUGUAGUGGAUAAAACAAUAUAAAAUUAAAAUAAAAAGCAGACGCAGUGCAGGUAGAAUGAUUAAAAGGCAACAAGUUGAAAUUUGUCUGCGAAUAUUACUUUGCAAUGACAUUCAAAAUUUAUUAGAUAGCUUCAUCACUCCCUAAUGGACGUCAUCAUAUGUUUGACUUGUACAUUAAGUAACUUGAAAAACUUGAUACAAAUAAGUAAAAUGUUCAUAAUUUACCAAUAACUGCCAACCAUGAAGAAACAGAGUGCUGAAUAUAAGAAGAGCCAUAAGGAAUUACUGAAUUAUUUUCAUGACAUCAAGUAUGGUUAUCAGGCAUUGCCUCGUUCCGUGAAUGCUAGUAUUCAGCAUUUGCAAAUGCCAUCUCAUUCUUCCUCUAUUCAGGGUACACAAUAGAAGCUAUACAAAAUAGAGCUCUUCAAACAUGUGUUAGUAACAGCUGAAUAUCCGCCCCGCUGCCCACGAAGUCGUUUUAAGAACCAGUAAAGCAAUGUCACACGCCUGGCUUUAUUUUUAUGCUAUUUGGAAUCCACUCAACGGUUCUCAAAGCGGGCGCUACCGCCCCCCGGUAGGCGUUGAGACUCUCCAGGUGGGCGCUGGUGCCUAAGUGGGCAGUAGAGAAAAAGGAGGCGUCGGGAGGAAGGUAGCGGAUUGCGGGACGCUAUGAAUUUAUUAUAACAUUGUUAAACUAUUAUAUUCAAAUUAUAUAUUGUUAUAUUAAAUAUCAAAUGAUUCAUUGUAUAUAUAAUUUAGUAAAAUAUGAAAUAUGUAUUUAUGAAUAAAAAUAGGGGUGUGGUUGCUGAGAGUAUUAUGUGGCUAUGAAGGGGCGGUGGCCCGAAAAGUUUGAGAACCUCGGAUGUAUUGAGUAUUCGUAGAUUCCAAAUCUAAUAUUUCAUCGUAAACUUCCUUCCCUGAGAUGCACGCGAAAUAUUGUAGCAAUCUUCAUGUAGCGACCGUUCUUCGGAUUCGAGGCUAUCUUAAUAUUUAAGUCUCGAAUAUUUGAAUUGUAAGUUCAGCUAAAAAAGAAAGAAUCGUGUAUUGUUGGUUGCCUGGGAGGGCUAAGAGGGUCGAUGCCUGCGGUAAAGAAAUAUUAUUGAGGAAACGGUAACUUAACUUUUUUGAGGUUUAGAAAGGUCAAAGUUGAACUUUCCUGAAAGCAUUUAGAUAUUUAGUAACGCCAGCCAUAAUGGUUCAGACUAAAUUAUGUAAACCACCAUAACUGAAAGGAUGGUUAGGUGCAACACAUAGCAGCAUACAUCAUACAAAUCAGUAUGAUAUAUACAUAAAGCUUUAGUCAUGUUGUUCAUCAGUUGUUGGAGAGAUAAUGCUGCAUUCUCAGGUUCGGUCAUAGUAUAAGAUAGUGUAAGGCAAAAAAGAAACCGCAACUGUUAGUUUAGAUAAAAUGUUUAUCGAUAUCCACGCAUUAUUGGAAUUGCGAAACAAAACAACAUAUAAACGAAGAAAUUCUUAGAUUUCUAAACAAAAAUAAGGCGGCAAUCUGCUUGAAUCAUUAGUACUGUGCCAAACACUUAGCGGCAUUUUGUCCGUUUCUUCAUUCUCAGUUCAAAUUCUUACGAUGUCGACUUUGCCUUUUAAGAACCAGUAAACUUGGCAUCGAUAAAAUAAAUUCCAGUUGAGUAUUGGGGGCCGGGGUUACAUAUUUCCCAUAAAUUGCUGGCCUUUUAUGUCAAGUCCAUCUAGACAUUGUAUUCUAACUGACAUUUAUGUGGAGGAAACUUGGAAUAAAAUUUAAAUCGGAUGAGAAGAUUUUAAAUAUUUAUGAGUCACACGGCCAACGAAUAAGAAUAUUUUACGAUCAAUCAGGAAAAAUGUAUAGUUAUUUUGUGCAUACAUACUUAAAUAUAUUUGAAGUGUUAUUUUGUAUUUAUAUUAUUUAGUUAUCCUCGUAUUAUUUCUCAUCAAAUGAAAAGCUGCUUGUGAGAAACACGGGUAAAAUGCGGAAAGAUGACGUAAUUAAUAUAUAUUUAAGCCAGUAAAGUAGAACAGCGUAAUUAAAAUUUUAAAUGACUCUAGCUGUAAUUCAUUUUUGUAGAAUGUAGCUUGUGGAAAAAUGGUGACGUAAUUAAAUUCAAUAUAGCUAAAACAGUGAAACAAUUUUUAAAUUAUUGUUUAAACGAGGAAGACUUCAAAAUAUAUAUUUUGUGGCGUGAUGAAAUGAAGCGAGAGCCAGGAAAUUGCAUUUUUUUCAAAUCUUCACUGGGCUGAAAUACGUCAUUAUAUUUUGUAGAAAACUAAUCGCACUUGUCUUCCUAUUUAGAUUGUUAUGCUUCAAAUAUUUCUUAUUUAUUUUAUCAUAUAAAUCUUAUGAUUAUUAGAAGCAUAUCAUAUUAGCAAGUUGCAUAUUAGCUUCUGUAUUCGAAAAGCGUUUUUAUGACUAAAUACAAAUAUAUUUCCCAAAUGUAUCACAUAUUCGUAUGUUGUAUAUGGCAGUUCUGUUUGGAAAUUGGGAAGAAGUACUGUGUCUGAUUAUAUAUAUGGCAGAAAUGAGCAGGUAUUAUGUAAAGGGGCUAUGAAAGGACUUUAAAAUUAAUAGUAAUAAUGCUAAAGCUUACAUGUAGCAUGUAUGAAUAGAGGCUAUGUAUUCCAUUUACAAAAGUGCAUGUCAGCUUGAACUAAAGUACGUAUAUGGUGAAUAUUCGUGUGCAGGUUGUACACGGUUUGCUAGUUGCUAAAUGCAUGAGACGAAUUUGUUGGUCGGAGAGAACGUAAUUGUGCUGGUGAGUGAAUUAUUGCAGAUUGGAAGGAAGGCUUUAAAUGUACAUGCCAACAUUUAUAUAGCUGUGUGUAAAGCAGAAACAUCAGGAGUACUGACUCACGUGUGUAGCAGCACUGCUCUGAUUGCUGGCUUUCAAACGAACUUACUAAAACAGAAGUAUCUAUUGGGCUGUUGUGAAGGACAAUAUCGACAUAUGACAUAUAAUUGUCGAUAUAUUUCCAUAAAACCUGCAAUUCACAUUGUCGAUAAUCUUAUGGUCGAGAUUAAGUGUAAGAGACCAGCAAUCUGUUCGAAGCUUUACACUAAUGACAAUCAUCUUUGUGCAUACUACAAUAAACUUGCUAAGUGUCCUACAUAAUUUCAAUGGUGCGUUGCUCUUUGUGUGAGAUUUAAUUGCUAUUUCCAGCACAUGAAAGCUCUCUGGUACUGUUUAUAAUCUUUUAUGCGAUAUAUUCUCUGGGUAUCCACAUCGAUAUCUUUGUGGCAUUUCGUAAUGUAUUGAAAAGUUGCAGCCUUUGAAAGCUAAGGGGUUAGUGUAUGGGAUACUUAAAAAGGACGGAGAUGGUGAGAUGUAGGGUACUAUGCACUGACAUCGUCCAGUGAUCGGUUUAACUUUCAAUCACAAAUUUCGGUGCUGUACCGUCCAGGAUAUUUCAAAUAAUAAUAAUAAUAAUAAUAAUAAUAAUAAUAAUAAUAAUAAUAAUAAUAAUAAUAAUAAUAAUAAUAAUAAUAAUAAUAAUAAUAAUAAUAAUAAUAAUAAUAAUAAUAAUAAUAAUAAUAAUAAAUAAUAAUAAUAAUAAUAAUAAUAAUAAUAAUAAUAAUAAUAAUAAUAAUAAUAAUAAUAAUAAUAAUAAUAAUAAUAAUAAUAAUAAUAAUAAUAAUAAUAAUAAUAAUAAGCUACAGAGUUAAUCUGUUGCUAAAAAAAUUCCUGAAAUCCGUGCUCCAGAAUUCCUAUAGUAUAUAUAUAUAUAUAUAUAUAUAUAUAUAUAUAUAUAUAUACAUAUAUAUAUAUAAGUAUAUAUGGUUGCAUAUAGAUAUGUAUAAAUGAUAUGUGUAUGCGUUUGUAUGCAUACAUACAUGCACACACACAUACACACACACAUAUAUAUAUAUAUGUAUAGUAAAAAGAGAGAGAAAUUUACACACCUAUAUGUACGUAUAUAUAUAUAUAUAUAUAUAUAUAUAUAUAUAUAUAUAUAUAUAUAUAUAUAUAUUUCUUGGUUUGACUACCAUCCGUGCAACAUCUAUAUUCCUUCCCAAGCCUGUCAUGACUUAUGUCCCUGCCGUAGGGCUUCAUUUCCGCACACGUCAACUUAAUUUAAUUUGUCCUUACUCGAAAGACACCUGUUGAUAUGUCCUGUUGUUUCCGUUUGUAUUUGUGUACCAUUUCUCCAUGUUUCUUCGCCCUUUGUUUUCCUAUACAUUCGCUGCUUUCUUCCAAGAAAUCUAGUGCUCGUAGCUUAGAAUUUCCGAGGGGCUGGACAGACUGGAGCAGUCUCGAUUAUAACCAGCCGAAACUGCAAAGAUAAUCUGGAACUCGAAUGAGGAAAGAAAACUCCGAAUAACCAAUCCUUGUCUUUUCUUGUCCCUUUUUUGUAUCAUCUGUCUGGAUGUUUUGUGUUCUUGACCCAUUUUUUGUAUAUCUCCCCUGUUUAUUUCCGUGUUGCUUUCCGUGGAAAAGCGUAGGAUCGACGCAUAAAAGAUUUUCUCACUUCCUAGCGUUAAACAAAUACAAUCUGUUUGUUGUUUACACACUCGACAUCGUCUUUUGUUUUUUCUAAAUUAUAUAUACAUGCACACACACACACACACACACAUAUAUAUAUAUAUGUAUGCAUACUCCUACAUAUACACCGAUAUGAAUAAACACUACAUACAUACAAACAUACAUACAUACGUACAUACAUACAUACAUACAUAUAUAUAUAUAUAUAUAUAUAUAUAUAUAUAUAUAUAUAUAUAUAAACACACAUAUAUAUCCACUCUGGUUAUGAAGCCUUUAUAAGAAACAUAUCACGGGAAUAUAUAACUCAUUUUCCGUGUCCAAGUGAUUGCUUUUGACUGUGCAAAUAAUCAGCAAAGUCACUGUAUGUUUUACGAGAACAAUGGCACUCCAGGCUUAUCUCACUUCGUGUCUACCUGCAUCGACGUGCGUGUGAGCUUUAAGCACUGUAUUGAUCUCCAAACAGCAAUUACUAAUCUCAUAGCUCCAACGGUUUCAAGAUCUAUUAUGGAAGUGUGAUUUUAACUUAUGACAUUCCGAUUUUAACACGAACGCGUUAAAUUAUCAACGCAUUUCAUAUUAAAUGCACUCAAGAACACCGUUCACGCACUUACAUUUACACUCAAAUGUAUUUGCAUGCGUAUAUACACAUGUGCGCUGUGCGUGCAUAUCGUACGUAUAUAAGCAUACAUGAUACAUAUAUAUACAUUAUAUACAUAUACGCACAUACGUAUAUAUAUAUACACACAUAUAUAUAUAUAUAUAUAUAUGUAUAUAUAUACAUAUACAUAUAUAUGUAUAUAUAUACAUAUAUACAUAUAUAUAUACAUAUAUAUAUAUAUAUAAAUAUAUAUACAUAUAUAUAUACACACAUAAACAUAUAUAUAUGUAUAUAUAUAUAUAUAUAUAUAUAUAAAUAUAUAUAUAUAUAUAUAUAUAUAUAUAUAUAUAUAUAUAUAUAUCUAAAGUAUAAGCUUAAAUGCAUGUCUUUGAAUAUGUGUAUACGUUUAUGUAAGUUAGUUUCCAUGCCUAUGUAUUAUGUGUGUGUGUAUGUGUGUGUGUUUGUGUGUGUGUGGGUGUAGACACAGGCAUAGGAGUGGCUGUGUGGCAAGUAGAUUGCUUACCCACCACAUGGUCCCGAGUUCAGUCCCACUGCGUGACAUCUAGGGCAAGUGUCUUCUACUAUAAUUUCGGAACACCAAAGAUUUGUGAGUGAAUUUGGUAGAUGGAAACUGGAAGACACCCGUCGUAUAAAUAUGUAUAAGGAUGAGUUAAGUUCAUUACUUAAAAUACCGACCAUAUCAAGUGGCUAGCAUGGGAAUAAAAUCCUCAUAGGUAAUAAUUAUUAGCAAAGUUAUAAUUAAGGGUAUCUAAAAAUUAUCAUCAUGCUAGAGAUAGCAGUCAAAACUUGACUGUCUAAACUCCACGUUGUGGUGUGCAUAUAUGUUUGUAUACUUACGAAUAUGUAAGUAUUCGUAUGUUGUGUGUGUGUGUGUGUGUGUGUGUAUAUAUGUGUGUGUGUGUAUAUAUAUAUAUAUAUAUAUGUAUGUAUAUUUGUAUUUAUGUACUAUUUUGUGUAUAUUCCACUGAUGAUUCAACGCAUUUCUUAUGCAAAGUCAGAAAUCCGGGAUGUGGAAUUAUGCAAACAUCGUUUUGCUAGUUUAGUUUGUCACUUUGUCUUCCCUCAUGGUGCUGUACGAAUAUUUGAUGUGUUUCGAGAGUCAACUUUUGACUGCUAUCUCUAGCAUGAUGGUAUCUUUUAGAUACCCUUAAUCAUAAUUUUAAUACUAUAUAUAUAUAUAUAUAUAUAUAUAUAUACAUGUGUGUGUGUGUGUGUGUGUGUGUGUGUGUGUGUGUGUGUGUGUGUGUGUGUGUGUAUUAGUGUGUCUCUAUUUGUCCCCCAACAUCGCUUGACAACCGAUGCUGGGGCGUUUACGUCCACUUAACGAAGCGGUUUGGCAAAAGAAAGCGAUAGAAUAAGUACUAGGCUUACAAAGAAUAAGUCCUGGGGAUCGAUUUGCUCGACUGAAGGCGGUGCUCCAGCAUAGCCGCAGUCCAAUGACUGAAAAAAGUAAAAGAUUAAAAGAAUAUAUAUAAUAAUAAUGCCUACAUAUAUAUAUAUAUAUGUGUAUAUAUAUAUAAGAUUGUAUAUAUUUAGAUGCAUGUGUUUCUUGUGCGUGUGACUACCUAUACGUAAGCUAUCAUACGUACGUAUGUAUGUUUAUACAUUCACAAAUAUAAAGUGAAUGAGCUUAAUCUGCUGAGCGGUACAACCCAGAGACGUUGUAUCAUUCAAAAGCGUCGUCUGACCAGCCGUGUGUAGCAGCAUCGGAUAGCUCUAUCGACAACCAAUCUAUAUACAUACGUAUGUCUAUGUUUGUGUGACUAUAUAUAUGUAUUUAAGCCCGAGAAUAAGCUAAUAACGACUAACCAGAGAAUGAGCUAAUAACGAUAAAAUCUAAAAAUUUCAUUCUAAAACUAAAGGGUUAUAAACGUUAAGAAACCGGUGACAUUGGAUGUCUUAAACCCUGUCUAAAUUCAGUAUUCAUUUGCAUCGAGGAAACAAAUCACGACACAGUAUACCACCAAACCUGAAACAAAGACUGGAAAAUACUUGAUAAUAAUGCCUGCUUGCUGUAUUAAAUUUGUUUCAAGUAAUCUUUACAGAGAUUCUUUGGGUGUGCGCGUGCGUGUCUCGACAUAUUAGAAGAUCUGAAUAGACUGAGGAUACAUUUUCACACUCAUUUAUGAUAGCAUCUUAAUUUGCAUCAUCUUCACAUGUGUUUAACGCGUACUAGUAUACAAUGCGGUCAUUUUCUUAAAAACUGUUCCUAACGUUACCUAUAACACCGAAAACAUAAACGUUUCUCUUUGGUCAAAUUUUCACCAACUCUGUCAGAAUAUUUUUUUUGUAAUAGAAGAUAAUGGUGGAUUUGUUAAAAGAUAAAUGAGUGCGGGGAAAAUGGCCGGAGUAAAUAGGAAGUGAAUUUGCUGACCCUCAUUAAUCUCAAUCCUUUCAACUUUUUCUUGAUGAAGAAUUUUAACCGAAACGUUGAAUUUUCGACUCACUGUCAACAAAUUUGCUGUAUUCGUUUUAGACACACACACACAUACACUGGAAACACAUACAUGCAUGCAUACAUACGUGAAUACACACACACACGCAUAUAUAUAUUUUUUCAUACACAUAUGUAUGCAUGUCUCUAUCCCUCUCUCUCUCUCUCUCUUUCGUUAUGUAUAUUGGGUUAGCAACUAAGUUCCCGCCGCUUUUCUUUAAAUUUUGGAAUUUAAUGCGCUUUUAAAUUAUUUUUUUCUUGUUAAUUUUAGUUAAAUUUUGUUUAUUUUCAGAUCAUUAAAAUGGAAUGUCAAGUUAAGAAAAACGAGCAUUUUCGACACCUUUUUGCUUUUAAUCAAGGUUCUAAGGCCGCAAAAGCUGCUCGCGGCAUUUUUGCUGUGUAUGGAGAAGGUGCCAAGGCUGAAAGAACCGCUCGUGAUUGAUAUCGUAGGUUCAAUAUGGAAAUUUUGACCUCAAAGACGCAUCUCGUUCUGGCCAUCUAGUUGAGUUCGAUGAAGAGCGAUUAAACAAACUUUUGCACAAAUUCUCGUCAAACGACAAGGGAACUGGCAGAGAAAAUGGAAUGCCCCUACACUGCUAUAGAGAAUUAUGUAUAAUAAUGAAGAUGAUGUAGUUGUUGCUGUGAAUUAUGAUGAUGAUGAUGAUGGCGAUAACGACGAGUGGAGGUGACGGAGAAGAAUGAUGACGACGGUGGUGGUGAUGGUAAUGCUGACUAAAAUGGUCGCCCUGACUGGUGAUGUAGACGACGAUCAUGAUGUCAAAUCGUUAAUGCUGACAGUGAUGCCGUUAGCGUUGAUAAUGAC